AUUGAUUAGAUUUGCAGUUUUAGUUUCCUGUCAACUACAAGUCGUGGUUUUAUGUCCAAAAAUCUUGUAAAGCACUAUUUUCUAUCACUUCCCAUAUGUUUAAUUUUUGAUGGCAUCAAGUCAGAUCCAAGCCCUCAAAGACAAGUGACUAAAAGUUGAUGACUUCCACGUCAAGGUCUAGGAAUGGUGGAUUGGAACGAGAAUAGAUGGUAAGGCCAGUUUCACAGCUGCACAGAAGCUGAAAACGUUAAAAGAUGAAAUCAAGAAUUGAUGCAAAGAGAAAGGAAAAAAGUAUGACUUGCAUACAUCUUUAUUUCAGGAGAUUGAGGCUAAUGAUAGGAAGGAUGGUGAUGAGACUAUGUCCAAUGAAACCUGGUUCGUAGCUAGGUUUUAAAGCUUGAAUUAGCUUCCAAAAUACAAGUGGAGGAGACUUCAUGGGGGCAGAAAUGAAGAGCCUAGCAGAUUAAAGAGAGGGACAGAAACACCAAGUGUUUUCACUACAUGGCUAAUCAAUAUAGGGAG
rnacentral:lncRNA from 1 species